rnacentral:rRNA from 1 species
UACGUAGGGGGCAAGCGUUGUCCGGAAUUAUUGGGCGUAAAGAGCUCGUAGGCGGUCUGCCACGUCCGCUGUGAAAACCUAGGGCUUAACCCUGGGCUUGCAGUAGAUACGGGCAGACUAGAGGUAGGUAGGGGAGAAUGGAAUUCCCGGUGUAGCGGUGAAAUGCGCAGAUAUCGGGAGGAACACCGGUGGCGAAGGCGGUUCUCUGGGCCUUACCUGACGCUGAGGAGCGAAAGCGUGGGGAGCAAACAGG